AUUUGACCUUCAAGAAAUUGAAAGUCGCCUAAAGGCCCUCAUAAAAGAAGCGAAUGAGGGAAGAAUAAAAGACUAGAUGGUAAUGUUUUAUCACCCGUAGAGACUACACGUUAACCUCCCAAUGAAAAUUUGCAUCCGCAAAUUGAAUCGGGAUGAUGAUAUAGUCCAAUGCACAUAGUAAUAUGUGG
rnacentral:autocatalytically_spliced_intron from 1 species